CUCCAGCAAGUGCUGCUAUAGUUCUGCCCCGGUCAGAGAGGGGGUCAUAACUAAUAUGGAGUCAUUUAAUACCUACAGGUAUCGUUUGGAGACAUUCGCAGAGUCCAGAUCUACUAAAUGGAGUCAGGAGCCUUACACAGGGCAGCGUGUUGAUGCCGGCAUUCAGCGUCCUCCAGGACCCUGGGAGAUCGCAGCUCAACCUCCGUCCUACUUUACUGACCACAAGGAGACCAUUAGAGUGCCUUACACUUCCUCAGUCAAGGUUUAAUCAGACACGGUCCACAAAAAUAGCCAAUGAAAACAACAGAG